rnacentral:lncRNA from 1 species
AAUUUUUCAAUUUUUAGAAAGACGUUCCGCAUUUAACAAAAAUCCAUGAUAUACACCCAACAUAGCAGUGAAAUCAAUGGCUUAAUGUCAAACCGAUUCGUUGCCCUAUGUAUUGAAAUUAUUUAAAUUUAAAAAUAAUAAAUAAAGUAGACAUAAUAAUAUUUCAAAAAGGUUAUUUGAAAAUGCUAAUUUAAUUAAAAUGGGUAUCUUUUAAAUACAUGGACUAAAUUUACAAUGGAUUAAAAUUUUACCAAAAGCCUAAGGUUAUGGACUUGAAACCAUGCAAAUCGGGCCUCCUUUCUCACUUUUUUUUUCAAUUUGGUAUGCUGCUGGACGGGCUGACUGGAUUGGGCUGCGGCUGUUGGGCUUGUUGUUGGGUCUGCUGGUAUUGUUGUUGCUGGGCCGCUGUUGGGUUGGUAUGCUAUUGGGUCUACAACUGGCAACGAAUCAGAUCUGGUUCGGGUCAGUAGUUUGGAUCGACGGUACGGGUCAAGUUGAACCGACUGUUCUUUUUCUUUUUCUUUCUUUUUCCUUCUUCUUUCAACUCAAACCCUAGCCCCUUUUUUUCUUUUCUGACGCUUCAUUUGCCCGGCGGUGCGACAGUCGCUGGUGUUUUGCCCCUCAUAUCUUUUCUCCUCUUUCUCUUCUCUCUUCUUUCUCUUUUUUUUCUUUUCUCUUUUCUUCCUCUUUUUUCUCUUCUUGUUUUGCUUAUUUUUCAGGGGACAAUCGUCUCAUCCACCGCCGUUCGUCGCUCAUCGCUCGGGCCACGGCCGGACCUUUCCCUUUUGCCAGCGUCUUCCCCUAAAAGGUGAGUUAUAUUUUUUUAUUUUUAUAUUUUGGUUGUUGUGAUUACUCGGGUUUCAAUAAUGGCGGAUGGAAAGCGGCAAGGCAGUGGGGCGAUGACGGUCACGGUGGCGGUGGGGGAAGCGGCCACGACGAUUCGAAGGUAACAAAGCUAUUUUUUUCUUUUUUUGAAGUCUUUUUUUUCUUUUUUCUACCUCUGUUCCUGGCUGCCAAUUUUUUGCAAGAAAAACGUCCUCUUAUUGUUGUUGAUUACUCCUUUUUCUCUUUGUUUUCAGGUAGCAGUUGAGGAGGGCCAUCAUGAGCCUAGGCCGGCCGCCGAAAAUAACGGAGGGUAGGUGCGCGAAAUGCGCCUGGCGGCUACAAACUGAUGUAGUUUGCCAGAAAGACCGUAUUGUAGAGGAUGCAAAACUUUCAGGGUCAAAAUGUAAUUUUAGAAAAAUUUAGAGGGUUAAAAUGUAAUUUUAGGAAAAGUUGGAGGGUCAAAUGUAAUUUUAGGAUAAUUUAGGGUUAAAAUGUAAUUUUAGGAAAGUUGGAGACCAAAAUGUAAUUAGUUAAUUUUUGUAUUUUUUUCUAAUUUUCUUUUAUUUUUAUUAUUUUUUAAAAUUAAUAUAACAUAAAAACAAAAACACUAAUGGGCUAAAGCCCAAUCAAGUCCAAAAUUAGAUAAGUAAAAGCCCAAUUGUCCAAUCACAACAGGCCCAAUCAUUAGGCCCAAUGAUUGGGCCCAUAUGAGACAAGCCCAAACCUUAGACCCAUUGAUCCAAAAAAACAAAAUUCAGGGAUUACAACCACUGCAGUACUAAAAACAUAAACUAUAAUACCACUUGUCACGUGCUUAGACUUAUCCAUGUAAUCGUGCGGUCUUAGACUCAAAUUUCUCGCCCAUGAGCCUAAGUCAAUUUUCAAUCCUCCCUUGGGAGAGGCUUUGGCACACUUAGACUAGACAAGCAACGGAAAAAAUGAGCUUAAAUAGCACAAGUAAAGAAUGCAAGAAAACUUGGAGAAUGUGAAAGUAUAUUUCUCAAAUAAAAGAUAGCUU